ACCCAAAGUGUUGAGUUCAGUACAGGGCUAACUCCCCUGUUCUGGUAAUUAAACUUUGGGACAGUGAGUAGUUGGGAGAUGUCAAAGGCAGAAGCUUCGUUUCUGCCACUUCUCUACCCCAACCCACAAAA